ACUUCUUGUGAGGCUCUGCAGGGAUGGCCUCUGUGUCACAUUGCAUCAGUAGGUGGCAGAGAGGAAAGAGUCUAUGUUUAUACUUAGUGUUCUAAUUUAUGAACAUCUAAAUGAUUAGUAGACUAACAUG